GGAGGAUUAGCCUAACUGGUAAGGUAGCGGUCUUCUAACCAGUAGGUUUCGGCCAUGCGGGUUCGAGUCCCGCAUCCUCUU
rnacentral:tRNA from 1 species